ACUCAGAAGACGGUCUGCAGAGGCUGGCCGCAGUCAGUGCCCAGCGACAGUGGAGUCCCAGGAAGGGCUGGGAGCAUCACAGGUGGCAGGGGAAGGGUCUUUGAUUCAUACCGAGUUAUUUUCUGCAUAUGCUGGGAAUCAGGCUUCCAGACUGUAAAACUUCUGUAACAAUUCUGAUGGCAUCCAACGAUGGGAGUCCCUGCUUUAAACAGCUGAGGGAGAAGAAUGCAGGACGCUGGCAGAGGUGUGUUUGGAGAAGAUGUGAUGGAAUUGGGCUGAAGGGCAGGAGCCGCGCUCUCUGAACAGGGUGGCUGCCGGCUUCAUCUUCGUCUUCUGUGGAGAGGGCACAGAACUGAACAGCAAGUGAGUCAGCGGCUCAGCUGUUGAGGACACACUGGAACUCAGGUGGUCAGCUGGAAGAUGGAUAUCAGGCAAGCAGCAAGUCCCCUGUACCUGUUCCCUAGAGGGCAUGUGGACUCCGGAACCCUGUUUCUUGCACUCAGGGUAACCUGCUCAAGGGUGCCCAGGUGUUGAAUUGUUUGGUAUUAUCCCAU